rnacentral:lncRNA from 1 species
GCGGUGCUAAUUGUGAAAUUGGAUUUGAAAUAGAAAUACUCUGUAGAUGCCAAUGUCGAGGCCGUUCUCUAGGGGGCGAUCGGCGACGAUCCUUUCCUCUCCUAGCGCGGCGUCGGGUGCGGGUGAGUCAGGUGGUGAGUCGGGUGGUGAGUCGGGUGGUGAGUCAGCCUCGUCCGAGUCGGAAAUGAGAUCGGUGGAGAAGUGUUGUGGAAGGUGGUGAUACGCGUUAGGGGUUCGGAGAAGAGAGCGAUAGAGGGUCCUUGAUAGCGUGACCAUGGAACUCGACAUUUUCUGUGUAGUGGUCACUGCUGCUGCUA